ACAGGCAGAGUACAGGUACUAAACAGGUAUGAGACGUUGUUGUUAUUAUAUAGAAACAGGCAGAGUACAGGUACUAAACAGGUAUGAGACGUUGUUGUUAUUAUAUAGAAACAGGCAGAGUACAGGUGCUAAACAGGUAAGAGACGUUGUUAUUAUAUAGAAACAGGCAGAGUACAGGUGCUAAACAGGUAAGAGACGUUGUUGUUAUAUAGAAACAGGCAGAGUACAGAUACUAAACAGGUAAGAGACGUUGUUGUUGUUAUUAUAUAGAAACAGGCAGAGUACAGGUACUAAACAGGUAUGAGACGUUGUUGUUAUUAUAUAGAAACAGGCAGAGUACAGGUACUAAACAGGUAUGAGACGUUGUUGUUAUUAUAUAGAAACAGGCAGAGUACAGGUACUAAACAGGUAUGAGACGUUGUUGUUAUUAUAUAGAAACAGGCAGAGUACAGGUACUAAACAGGUAUGAGACGUUGUUGU